CCGGCCGCCCCACGGCACUCGGGGCGUCCCCCGGCCAGACGGGCCGGGCCCGGCCCAGCCCCGCUCGCGGGAGGAGCCGGAGCCCCCAUCCCGUCACAGUCAUGCUUCCAGGAAAUCUAUGCUGAGUGACAAAUUCUCAUGUAGCGGAUGGAUUUGAAAAGAGACAACACUCCUGUUUAGUCCUAAUCUGUUCCAUUGCACUAUUUGCAAGGUGCUAUACUCGAGUAUUUAAGGUACCACAACUUCAAGGGCAUCCCGUGUGCUGAAUCACAUUCCUUCCAGCUCCCUCUGGUUGUCAGUGGACAAGGCCAGCUUGACAUUAUUCCGUAUCUUACAUCGACUUCCAUCAGCAACACAACAAAGUACUCCUGCCCAUACUGUCAGCCUGCUAAUGUUAGUGGACCAUCCAGAUAUCUAGAAUCAUGCAGGAAAAGUUGUACAGCAGAAUGGUCUAGCGACUCUUAUCACCAUCCAGACUGAGGACAAUAAAUAUGAAUGUAAUGUGAGAAGUCGGUAAUGGAGAAAAAUGUCCCAAAUGUGGCUUGGUUCCAAAGCCCCUACAGCAGGUUCUGUUUGCACCCACUGCAUUUUAAGGGUCCAACCAAAUUAAACAGUGUGCUUCUUCAGUCCUCCUCGUCCAUCAGGAAUGAAACAUCCCCUUCCUUCUCCCACCCCCAUACAGGAACUACAGGUGAAUACCCAGAACUUGUGAUGCCAGAAGCGAUGCACAGUCUUUCCAUCCCUCUUGUUCCUGUGGAACCAUUCUCCCCACCCUUCCAUCCACAAUUUGGCAGGAUGGAGCUCAACAGAGAUGCCUACUUAAAAUCAAAGGACAGCAGAUAUUCAUUAGCUGCCUAAUGUCCAGUAUUUAAGCUUGAGGGAGAAAUUAAAUAUUUCUUAUAAUGGAGGUAUCCACUGGCCAUCCCUGUAUGUUCAACUUUUCUUGAUAAACCUAAGUAGAUAUUA